UGACGACCAUAGCAAGGUGGUCCCACCCCUUCCCAUCCCGAACAGGGCCGUGAAACACCUUCGCGCCGAUGAUAGUGCGCCCCUUGAGCGCGUGAAAGUAGGUCAUCGUC
rnacentral:rRNA from 1 species